GACGAACCGUACAAACGUUAUUCGGAAUCACUGGGCUUAAAGGGUGCGUAGGCGGCGCGGAAAGUAGGGUGUGAAAUCCCUCGGCUCAACCGAGGAAUUGCGCCCUAGACUACCGUGCUCGAGGGAGAUAGAGGUGAGCGGAACUUAGGGUGGAGCGGUGAAAUGCGUUGAUAUCCUAAGGAACACCGGUGGCGAAAGCGGCUCACUGGAUCUCUUCUGACGCUGAGGCACGAAAGCUAGGGUAGCGAACGGG
rnacentral:rRNA from 1 species